rnacentral:siRNA from 1 species
AGCGGCGGCUAUCUGGAUCUCCUC